GGGAUAACAGCUGGAAACGGUUGCUAAUACCGCAUAAGCGCACAGAGCUGCAUGGCUCGGUGUGAAAAACUCCGGUGGUAUGGGAUGGGCCCGCGUCUGAUUAGGCAGUUGGCGGGGUAACGGCCCACCAAACCGACGAUCAGUAGCCGGCCUGAGAGGGCGACCGGCCACAUUGGGACUGAGACACGGCCCAAACUCCUACGGGAGGCAGCAGUGGGGAAUAUUGCACAAUGGGGGGAACCCUGAUGCAGCGACGCCGCGUGAGCGAAGAAGUAUUUCGGUAUGUAAAGCUCUAUCAGCAGGGAAGAUAAUGACGGUACCUGACUAAGAAGCCCCGGCUAACUACGUGCCAGCAGCCGCGGUAAUACGUAGGGGGCAAGCGUUAUCCGGAUUUACUGGGUGUAAAGGGAGCGUAGACGGCAAGGCAAGUCUGAUGUGAAAACCCAGGGCUUAACCCUGGGACUGCAUUGGAAACUGUCUGGCUCGAGUGCCGGAGAGGUAAGCGGAAUUCCUAGUGUAGCGGUGAAAUGCGUAGAUAUUAGGAAGAACACCAGUGGCGAAGGCGGCUUACUGGACGGUAACUGACGUUGAGGCUCGAAAGCGUGGGGAGCAAACAGGAUUAGAUACCCUGGUAGUCCACGCCGUAAACGAUGAAAGCGAGGUGUUGGGGAGCAAAGCUCUUCGGUGCCGCCG
rnacentral:rRNA from 1 species